rnacentral:sRNA from 1 species
ACACUUCAGUGGCAAGACUGUAAGGUGUUGGACGAAGAGGACAACCUUCCCUGAUAGAGGAGGGCCGUUCUUCGGUCAAGGGUAUACGAGUAGCUGUGCUCCCCUGCUAGAACCCCCAAACAAGCUUUCAAAAGCAACUACAAACGAUGGUUAACUUUUUGGGGGAUGGGUGGAAAC